AUUUGAGAAAUGAUGGAUUAGCAAAUUCGACGGUAUUAUGGUAUUCACUCCAUGUAUCUUUUGUAAUGCUCAUAUUCUAGAAUUGCAAGCUUAGUAAUGAAUUAAUAUGUCGCACAAAGAUGGUUUUUCAUGUUGAUUUUUUGGGUGUUGUAGUAUGCUUGAGUUGGUUUUGCAAAAUUUUUGAGUUUUCCUUGGCUGCUGAAUUGUAAGAGAAGAAAACUCUGUGCCUCAUAUUGAUGUAGUAUAGUAUCUAAUUGUGGUACUCUUGGAAUGCAAUCAUCUAGUGGAUGCAUGCAUGGAGUUGUUCUUAUGCUGUGAUGGGAAUUUUUAACUCCAUCAUUAACUGCGGGCCUUUUGAACUAGCCCUUUUAUUUUUUGGAAACUUUCUUUUCUUGGUUGGUAUCUUAGAUUUUUGUAACUGUUGGAGGUAACAAUUUUAUUGAUAUAUGUGAUGUGAUUUUUCGGGAUAUGUACUAGAUUUCUUUUGCUUGAAAUUGAACUCAGUCUACUUGCUUGGAAUUUUUCUGGAGGAAACUUUUUUUAAAAUUUUGGUUAACUGGCAUUUAACUCAGUCUACUAUGCUCAACUGUUAUGGUGUGUCAAAGUUUGAGUUAUGUAUCUGAAGGAUUUUUUAUUUAAUUUUUUGCUACAAUAAUGGAUGAGUUAUGGUUUGGUUAGUGGAAGCUUGUGGGCUCCCUAUGAAAUUGGUAUGAGCAAGAUUUUGGUAUGUUUGUUUCUUUGAAUUUGGUUCUGAUGGCUUUGAUUCUUGUGUAUAUAAAGUCAGAUUAUUGGCAUUUUGGUCAUUGCAGUUUGCUUUAUAUGUUGCUAAAUUAUUAUUGCUAAAUGCAGUUGUGACAGGUUAUCUGGGAACCAAUUCUUGUUCAACUUGACACCUGAUGUAAAAUUCAUUUCUGAUCUGGACCAAGCCUUGAUUGGAACUUCCUUUCUUUUGCUGCAUGCUUUCGAGAACAUGUUCAAAUGCCAAUGUGGGAGAUUGGUAUCAUCAUCUCUUCAUCCUUCAGUACCAUUUCCACCUCUUCCUUCCCAGCCCAUGAGAAAAUACUCGUUUGAGUUGGUGAUGAACUCUUACCUCGUGAAAAAGCCUUGUGUGGGGAUGCAGUGUGGUAAGGUCUCCAUGUGUACAAUGGAAAAAAGUCUUUAAGCUUAAUGACAGGUUAUGACGAAUACAAGAGGAUUAAGAAAUUGGCUUUUUGAAAAGAUCUCGGGAUUGACCUCUUCUCAAUUAGGAUGGAUCGGAGUUUUGGUCUUCUUAAUAUUUUUACUUGUGCCAUGAUCGUGGUAUUCAGCUCCUCUCUCCAAUCACAAUAUAUUGGACUUUUGGUAUUCCACGCUUUUUGCUUAUCAUCUUCCCAACCAAGGAUUAAACUCCUCUUCCUCGGUCAGAACUGUGUUGGACUUCUGCUCCUCUUCCCUGCUGAAUUAUAAUCCAUAUUCACAUAUUCUUGGAAUUCUUUUGCUUAUCAUCUUCAUGGUCGUGGAAUCGAGCUCCUCUCUUCGGU